GACUUCUGGUUUAAUGUGCCUGGCCCGCGGCUCUUUAGGCUUGUGUGUGCCGGUGCGCGUUUACCAUCCUUCUGGGGAACGGGUCUACUCUUAACUGAGCCGGAUUCGGGAUCCAGAUCAUUUACUUUGAAAAAAUUAGAGUGUUUAAAGCAGGCUAUUGCUAUGAAUACAUUAGCAUGGAAUAAUAAUCUAGGACUUCGGUUCUAUUUUGUUGGUUUCUAUAACUGAAGUAAUGAUUGAUAGGGAUAGUUGGGGGUGCUAGUAUUCAGCGGCCAGAGGUGAAAUUCUUGGAUUCGCUGAAGACUAACUUAUGCGAAAGCAUU
rnacentral:rRNA from 1 species